rnacentral:rRNA from 1 species
AUUGAACGCUGGCGGCAGGCCUAACACAUGCAAGUCGAGCGGAUGAAGGGAGCUUGCUCCUGGAUUCAGCGGCGGACGGGUGAGUAAUGCCUAGGAAUCUGCCUGGUAGUGGGGGAUAACGUCCGGAAACGGGCGCUAAUACCGCAUACGUCCUGAGGGAGAAAGAGGGGGUUCUUGGGACCUCACGCUAUCAGAUGAGCCUAGGUCGGAUUCGCUAGUUGGUGGGGGAAAGGCCUACCAAGGCGACGAUCCGUAACUGGUCUGAGAGGAUGAUCAGUCACAGGGGAACUGAGACACGGUCCAGACUCCUACGGGAGGCAGAAGUGGGGAAUAUUGGACAAUGGGCGAAAGCCUGAUCCAGCCAUGCCGCGUGUGUGAAGAAGGUCUUCGGAUUGUAAAGCACUUUAAGUUGGGAGGAAGGGCAGUAAGUUAAUACCUUGCUGUUUUGACGUUACCAACAGAAUAAGCACCGGCUAACUUCGUG